CCUACGGGGGGCAGCAGUGAGGAAUAUUGGUCAAUGGCCGCAGGGCUGAACCAGCCAAGUCGCGUGAGGGAUGACGGUCCUAUGGAUUGUAAACCUCUUUUGUCAGGGAGCAAAGGGCGCCACGUGUGGCGCUUUGCGAGUACCUGAAGAAAAAGCAUCGGAUAACUCCGUGCCAGCAGCCGCGGUAAUACGGAGGAUGCGAGCGUUAUCCGGAUUUAUUGGGUUUAAAGGGUGCGCAGGCGGAAUGUCAAGUCAGCGGUAAAAUUGCGGGGCUCAACCCCGUCGUGCCGUUGAAACUGGCGUUCUUGAGUGAGCGAGAAGUAUGCGGAAUGCGUGGUGUAGCGGUGAAAUGCAUAGAUAUCACGCAGAACUCCGGUUGCGAAGGCAGCAUACCGGCGCUCAACUGACGCUCAUGCGCGAAAGCGUGGGUAUCGAACAGGAUUAGAUACCCGAGUAGUC
rnacentral:rRNA from 1 species